rnacentral:rRNA from 1 species
AGAAUCAACGCUGGCGGCGUGCCUCAGACAUGCAAGUCGAACGCGAAAGUCCCCUUCGGGGGGCAAGUAGAGUGGCGCACGGGUGAGUAACACGUAGGUAAUCUACCUUUGGAUGGGGAAUAACAACCGGAAACGGUUGCUAAUACCGCAUAAUGCAGCGGCACCUAAUGGUGACAGUUGUUAAAGCGGGGGAUCGAAAGACCUCGCGUCUGAAGAGGAGCCUGCGGCGGAUUAGCUAGUUGGUAAGGUAACGGCUUACCAAGGCGACGAUCCGUA